rnacentral:snRNA from 1 species
AUGGUUACAAUAAAAACGGUUCAAAACAAAAAUCUGUUCUUAUCAGUUUAAUAUCUGAUAUGUUCCCUUCCUGGGGACUGCAUAUUAAAUGGAUUUUUGGAUCAUGGAGCUGGAGCCGGGGCUUGCUCCAUCCACUCCACGCAUCGGCCUGGUAUUGCAGUGUUUCCAGAAACGGUGUGCUUCCC